AUUGAACGCUGGCGGCAGGCUUAACACAUGCAAGUCGAGCGGGGGAAGGUAGCUUGCUACCGGACCUAGCGGCGGACGGGUGAGUAAUGCUUAGGAAUCUGCCUAUUAGUGGGGGACAACAUCUCGAAAGGGAUGCUAAUACCGCAUACGUCCUACGGGAGAAAGCAGGGGAUCUUCGGACCUUGCGCUAAUAGAUGAGCAUAAGUCAGAUUAGCUAGUUGGUGGGGUAAAGGCCUACCAAGGCGACGAUCUGUAGCGGGUCUGAGAGGAUGAUCCGCCACACUGGGACUGAGACACGGCCCAGACUCCUACGGGAGGCAGCAGUGGGGAAUAUUGGACAAUGGGGGGAACCCUGAUCCAGCCAUGCCGCGUGUGUGAAGAAGGCCUUAUGGUUGUAAAGCACUUUAAGCGAGGAGGAGGCUACUCUAGUUAAUACCUAGGGAUAGUGGACGUUACUCGCAGAAUAAGCACCGGCUAACUCUGUGCCAGCCGCCGCCGUAA
rnacentral:rRNA from 1 species